GUCCCCAUCGUCUAGCGGCCUAGGACACCGGGCUUUCAAUCCGGCAACAGGGGUUCGAAUCCCCUUGGGGACGCCA
rnacentral:tRNA from 1 species